rnacentral:rRNA from 1 species
GACGGUAACAGCCCGGUAGUUGAAAUAGCUUUCCCUCCAGAGUGGAUCCUGAGUACGGCGGAACACGUGAAAUUCCGUCGGAAUCCGGGAGGACCAUCUCCCAAGGCUAAAUACUCCCUAGUGACCGCUAGUGAACCAGUACCGUGAGGGAAAGGUGAAAAGCACCCCGGAAGGGGAGUGAAACAGUUCCUGAAACCGUGUGCCUACACGUAGUUAGAGCCCGU